rnacentral:rRNA from 1 species
CACUUGUUCUUUAAAUGAGGACUAGUAUCAAUGGCAUCACGAGGAUCUUACUGUCUCCCCGCUCCAAUCAGUGAAACUGAUCUUCCCGUGAAGAAGCGGGAAUAUACCUAUAAGACGAGAAGACCCCAUGGAGCUUUAAAUCCAACAGCACCUAUUACCCAUAUAUCUUUAUAUUUUUUUAGCAAAUGCUCGUUCGGUUUUAGGUUGGGGNGACCAUGGAGUAAAAAAUAACCUCCCCGAAAAAAGGCAUAAAACCCUUAUCAAAGAGCCACAUCUCUAUGAAUUAGUAAACUAAUUUCUGAUGAUCCGAUAUUCGAUCAACGAACCAAGUUACCCUGGGGAUAACAGCGCAAUCCGCCUUAA